UACGUAGGGGCCAAGCGUUGUCCGGAUUUAUUGGGCGUAAAGAGCUCGUAGGCGGUUUGGUAAGUCGGGUGUGAAAACUCCAGGCUCAACUUGGAGAUGCCACCCGAUACUGCUCUGACUUGAGUUCGGUAGGGGAGUGGGGAAUUCCUGGUGUAGCGGUGAAAUGCGCAGAUAUCAGGAGGAACACCGGUGGCGAAGGCGCCACUCUGGGCCGAAACUGACGCUGAGGAGCGAAAGCGUGGGUAGCAAACAGG
rnacentral:rRNA from 1 species